GGAUUGCAGUGGACUUCAGAUGUUCAUGACGAUUUUGUGAAUGCUAAUUUGCAACUUGUUGGACCAGAGAAACUGAUGGAUGGAUAUCCUGUCUGGAUCUGAAGACUUUUUCUUCUUAAUGUGGAGGAUUGAGGGCUGUCCAAAUUAUAAAGGUGCAAUUAUCCGGUUGAAACUAGAUCUUUGGUACAAGACAUGCUGAUAUUGAGUUGAUGUACCUGAUUUCUCAAAGCGAUUGCAAAGUGUCUUCAUUUUUGUUGUAAAAGUAUUAUCUUGCUAAGUUGUUGCCAGAAUCUCCUGGUAAAGGUUCUAAGUAGGAAAGUCUCUGGAGAGAGCCUGUCUGGUGAGGAUUUCUUCCAGGGGAGUGCAAAUUAAUGAAGCACUGACUUUACAAUGGAGGUUCAAAAAUGUCUUCAUGAGCAGCUUGAGGUGCGAAGACAGUUACAAGUUAGAAUUGAAGCUCAGGGGAAAUACCUGGAGAAGAUCAUCGAGGAGCAGCAGAAACUUGGAGGUGCACUAAAAGCCCCUAAUGUGGUAGCAUCAGCAGAUAAUAAGGGAAAUUCAUCACAAUCAGAGCCUCCUUCUGAUGCCCCCGCAGAGUUAUUCGCUUCCUGAAAUAUAGGGAUGAAUAUGAUAAUUGUGCCCCUUACUGGUGUCACAAAUUUGUUUUUUGAAAGCAUGAUUUCGGUGGUCAGAUUAAAGUUGGUAUGGUUCUGAUGUGAGUAUAGUGAGAUCCAUUGUAUUGAUUAGGACUCUCUGAGCUGUGUGUCGGCUUGUUAUGUUUGUUACUCUAGUUAAAAUGCUUUACUGUGUAAAUUGUGAAAUUUAAUCUAUUGUAUUAAUAAUUAUUUUAAAACAAUUUAGUUUUCUGUUUCUGCUUUAA